AAGUCAACUCCGCAAGGGGUGGCGCACGGCUCAGUAACACGUAGUCAACCUACCCUAGGGACGGGGAUAACCUCGGGAAACUGAGGCUAAACCCCGAUAGGCUAUAGCCUCUGGAAUGAGCUAUAGCUGAAAUCUAUAUGGCCCUAGGAUGGGACUGCGGCCGAUCAGGUAGUUGGUGGGGUAAUGGCCCACCAAGCCUAUAACCGGUGCGGGCUCUGAGAGGAGGAGCCCGGAGAUGGGCACUGAGACAAGGGCCCAGGUCCUAUGGGGCGCAGCAGGCGCGAAACCUCCGCAAUGGGCGAAAGCCCGACGGGGUUAGUCCGAGUGGUCCCUGCUGCAGGGGCCUUUUGCCAGCUGUAAAAAGGCUGGCGAAUAAGGGGUGGGCAAGUUUGGUGUCAGCCGCCGCGGUAAUACCAGCACCCCGAGUGGUCGGGACGAUUAUUGGGCCUAAAGCAUCCGUAGCCGGCUUAGCAAGUCCUCCGUUAAAUCCAACGGCUUAACCGUUGGGCUGCGGAGGAUACUGCUAAGCUAGGGGGCGGGAGAGGCGAGGGGUAUUCCCAGGGUAGGGGUAAAAUCCGUUGAUCCUGGGAGGACCACCAGUGGCGAAGGCGCCUCACUAGAACGCGCCCGACGGUGAGGGAUGAAAGCUGGGGGAGCGAACCGGAUUAGAUACCCGGGUAGUCCCAGCCGUAAACGAUGUAGGCUCGAUGUUGGGUUACCCAAGUGGUAGCCCAGUGUCGCAGGGAAGCCGUUAAGCCUACCGCCUGGGGAGUACGGCCGCAGAGGCGUGAAACUAAGAGGAAUGGCGGG
rnacentral:rRNA from 1 species